UACGUAGGGUGCGAGCGUUGUCCGGAAUUAUUGGGCGUAAAGGGCUCGUAGGCGGUUUGUCGCGUCGGGAGUGAAAACCCAGGGCUUAACCCUGGGCUGGCUUUCGAUACGGGCAGACUAGAGGUAUGCAGGGGAGAACGGAAUUCCUGGUGUAGCGGUGAAAUGCGCAGAUAUCAGGAGGAACACCGGUGGCGAAGGCGGUUCUCUGGGCAUUACCUGACGCUGAGGAGCGAAAGCUAGGGGAGCGAACAGG
rnacentral:rRNA from 1 species